CAGGUAUGGGACCUGUUAUACAGAAUGCUGGGAACUUGGGGUUUUUUUGGAUAUGGGGCUCCAUAAUUUGUAUCUCUAUCAGUGCUGUUCCAAGGCUACUAUGGGUAUAUGUAGCUCCAUAAUUUGUAUCUCUAUCAGUGCUGUUCCAAGGCUACUAUGGGUAUUUGUAGCUCCAUAAUGUGUAUCGCUAUCAGUGCUGUUCCAAGGCUACUAUGGGUAUUUGUAGCUCCAUAAUUUGUAUCUCUAUCAGUGCUGUUCCAAGGCUACUAUGGGUAUAUGUAGCUCCAUGAUUUGUAUCUCUAUCAGUGCUGUUCCAAGGCUACUAUGGGUAUAUGUAGCUCCAUGAUUUGUAUCUCUAUCAGUGCUGUUCCAAGGCUACUAUGGGUAUAUGUAGCUCCAUGAUUUGUAUCUCUAUCAGUGCUGUUCCAAGGCUACUAUGGGUAUAUGUAGCUCCAUAAUUUGUAUCUCUAUCAGUGCUGUUCCAAGGCUACUAUGGGUAUAUGUAGCUCCAUAAUUUGUAUCUCUAUCAGUGCUGUUCCAAGGCUACUAUGGGUAUAUGUAGCUCCAUAAUUUGUAUCUCUAUCAGUGCUGUUCCAAGGCUACUAUGGGUAUAUGUAGCUCCAUAAUUUGUAUCUCUAUCAGUGCUGUUCCAAGGCUACUAUGGGUAUUUGUAGCUCCAUAAUUUGUAUCUCAGACUGCUACCUGCUUUCUACAGGCUUCUUUGCUUCACAUGUCUCUGUGUAGAAUGUUCUGCUCUCCAAUGCAUGAAAUAAACAAUAAUGAAACAAUUA